rnacentral:tRNA from 1 species
GGGAGCGUUGACGGUAGAGCUGACCGAGGCUGCCUGUAAAGCAGUCGUCCGACGACCAACUGGGUGCGAGUCCCAGCGUUCCCACCA